rnacentral:lncRNA from 1 species
UUGUUACUUGGCUUCUCCCAUAAUUUAAUCUUUGAGGCGAGUAUUUAUUAUCAUAAUUAUUACCUAAGACUCAACAUUAUUUGCAAGUGAAAAUGACAAAAUAAAAGAAAGGGAAGACAGAGGAGACAAUCCAAAAUGAGUUUAAAAAUCAGAUACUCAAUAUAUUAAGCACAUACGCAAUACAUCACAUGGUCCCUACCACACUCUUAAAUCCUUCAACAGUUGCAACUGAAACAGCCAAAACAUGUAAUAAAAAAAGAGAGUAGCUGGAUUAAUUAUUAAACAUCAAUUAUCACUCACUAUCGUGCUCAAAUUACAAAUGCUUAAUAAGACUAAUACUUGAUGGACACGGCGCAAUUGGGUUUGUAAUUGUGGUAUCAAUCCAAAGGUAUAAAGGAGGUGGCUCAAGUCUCGAC